AGUGCUCCGUGAUCUUCAUGAAGAAAUGGAGUUUGUUGAUCUUAAAAAGGUUUUUGAUUAUGGGAACUAUGUGGAAGGAGUUCCAAAACCUGCAAACUUCACCCCUGCCUUCAAAUUACCUAAAACAUUGCAGUAUAGUUUGAAGAAAAAAGUGGGAUAUGGAUCUGCUUCUGU